rnacentral:SRP_RNA from 1 species
ACCGCGUGCCGUGGAGCAUGCCUGUAGUCCCCGCUACUCCCGAAGCUGAGGUGGGAGGAUUGCUUGAGCCCAGGAGUUCUGGGCUGUAGUGCGCUAUGCCGAUCAGGUGUCCGCACUAAGUUCGGCAUCAAUAUGGUGACCUCCCGGGAGCAGGGAACCACCAGGUUGCCUAAGGAGGAGUGAACCGGCCCAGGUCAGAAACAGAACAGGUCAAAACUCCCAUGCUGAUCAGUAAUGGGAUUGCACCUGUGAAUAGCCACUGCACUCCAGCCUGGGUAACAUAGCAAGACACUGUCUCU